CGGGGUCGUUGCCGUGCCUCCGCCAACGUGAGGCUUCGGACGAAGCCUCAGAGCACGGCUGCGUCGGCAUCCGACGCCACGAACGCACGAACGCGGCCCUCGCGAGGCAUGUGGACGCCUGACUCAGUCAAACCCAUGCUGCCCAAGAAGCGUCCCCUCACCAGCAGCGCCGCAGCUGGUGGUUGGGCUGCGGUUGCGGUCGCUGCUGUUGGUGAUGAGGCAUGAACCGUGACGGUGCUCGGCGUGCCAUGCCUAGCAGAGUAGGCGUUGCUGCCCGCCCAAAGCCCGUGUGCCUCUGCUAGCGCCGGUAUCCUUGCGUGGGUGCACUUUUUCCGACACGAUGAGGACUUAUGUGCCGACGACGACGGCGCCGUCCUACACAACCGCCUCCAGAUGCAGCUCAUCCUGUGCUUCAGGGCCGCGUUUCUGGCCGUUGACUUUUACACCAAGUCAGAGCAUGUUGACCGUCGAUUCGUGCGCGACGUCAAGAGUGCGGAUGAUAUGUACUGCCCUUACAUGAGCGUACCGGGGGCUGCCACUAUCGAAUGCGGCGGCAUUGCUGACGCACAGAACACGCCUUCGCUGGAUGGCCCGCCAAGCAGCGGUCGUUGGAAAAAGGAAAAGGUGAGUUGGCGAACUGGUGGUGGUACUCGGUUGUAGACGAGUAUGGCACGGUGAAAGGCGGCGUGCACUGUGCCGUGCACAUUAAAGGUGCCCUUGCAUGCAUGGCGUGCCUCGACACUCGCGUGCAUGCGUAGGUUGUCUACGCAUUUCGUUGUGUGCAUCGCUCCCCACUGACGUGUUGUCUACACUUCGUUCUCUCACGUCGCGAGAGAAGGGCGAGUGCGCUCAGGGAUGAGUGCGUUUCGUUCUCCUUGGGGUGGGGCUACGCAGUCCUCCUCCUCUCCCGGUGCGCUUCAGACCUUCCCAUUGCUGUUUUUUCUCUUGCCAUUUUCGUACAGAGGCAUGUAUGUGGACUUCGGCACCCAGACAUCCGUACAUAGUGAAGCUGCAGGACGCGGUUGCCGUAUACAUGGACGCACAGACACUCGCAUAAUCAGGCCCCAGUUGUCGCCCAUGGACUGCCUUCCACCACACGGAGUAGCAUGCUUUGGGAUGAAGAAAAGGGGGGGCGUCCGCUCAACUUGUUCCCUCUCACCCCUCUUCCCCCCAAAGAAAGGGCGGAGCAGCUAUCCGCCGCCUUUCCGGGUGGCAGGAGGCAAGGCUCUACUCCUUUUGGUUUCCUCCACUAGAUGGAUGUUGAGAAAAUGAUUGCCCUGCUUUUAUCCGGAUGAGUGUGUCCCUCUCUUCUCUCCUUCUCUCUCUCUGUACGCUUGCUCUGCCUCGGUAUACCCACCCACCUCUAUCGAGCUCGUGCUUCUCCUUCGGUCACCGCCGCGUGCUUGUUUCGCCUUUCGGUUGCUGCGCUUUGUUUAG
rnacentral:misc_RNA from 1 species